CCUACGGGAGGCAGCAGUAGGGAAUCUUCCACAAUGGGCGAAAGCCUGAUGCAGCAACGCCGCGUGGGUGAAGAAGGUCUUCGGAUCGUAAAACCCUGUUGUUAGAGAAGAAAGUGCGUGAGAGUAACUGUUCACGUUUCGACGGUAUCUAACCAGACAGCCACGGCUAACUACGUGCCAACAGCCGCGGUAAUACGUAGGUGGCAAGCGUUAUCCGGAUUUAUUGGGCGUAAAGGGAACGCAUGCGGUCUUUUAAGUCUGAUGUGAAAGCCUUCGGCUUAACCGGAGUAGUGCAUUGGAUACUGGGAGACUUGAGGGCAGAAGAGGAGAGUGGAACUCCAUGUGUAGCGGUGAAAUGCGUAGAUAUAUGGAAGAACACCAGUGGCGAAAGCGGCUCUCUGGUCUGUAACUGACGCUGAGGUUCGAAAGCGUGGGUAGCAAACAGGAUUAGAUACCCUUGUAGUC
rnacentral:rRNA from 1 species